rnacentral:rRNA from 1 species
CCUACGGGAGGCAGCAGUGGGGAAUAUUGGGCAAUGGGCGCAAGCCUGACCCAGCAACGCCGCGUGAAGGAAGAAGGCCCUCGGGUUGUAAACUUCUUUUAUCAAGGACGAAACAAAUGACGGUACUUGAUGAAUAAGCCACGGCUAACUACGUGCCAGCAGCCGCGGUAAUACGUAGGUGGCAAGCGUUAUCCGGAUUUACUGGGUGUAAAGGGCGUGUAGCCGGGCUGACAAGUCAGAUGUGAAAUCCGGGGGCUCAACCCCCGAACUGCAUUUGAAACUGUUGGUCUUGAGUAUCGGAGAGGCAGGCGGAAUUCCUGGUGUAGCGGUGAAAUGCGUAGAUAUCAGGAGGAACACCGGUGGCGAAGGCGGCCUGCUGGACUGCAACUGACGUUGAGGCCCGAAAGCGUGGGGAGCAAACAGGAUUAGAUACCCUAGUAGUC